CUUUGUGGUUGUGUGGUGAGAGUGGCGAACGGGUGAGUAACACGUGAGUAACCUGCCUUUUUCUUUGGGAUAACGCUCAGAAAUGGGUGCUAAUACUGGAUGUUCUGCGCUUUCCGCAUGGGGGGUGUGGGAAAGGGGCCUUUGUGGUUUCUGGAGGGAGAUGGGCUCGCGGCUUAUCAGCUUGUUGGUGGGGUGAUGGCUUACCAAGGCUUUGACGGGUAGCCGGCCUGAGAGGGUGGGCGGUCACAUUGGGACUGAGAUACGGCCCAGACUUCUACGGGAGGCAGCAGUGGGGAAUUUUGCACAAUGGGGGGAACCUUGAUGCAGCGACGCCGCGUGAGGGAUGGAGGCCUUCGGGUUGUGAACCUCUUUCGCUCGUGUGCAAGCCGCUAUUUGGGUAGUGGUGAGUGUAGCGGGUAAAGAAGCGCCGGCUAACUACGUGCCAGCAGCCGCGGUAAUACGUAGGGCGCGAGCGUUGUCCGGAUUUAUUGGGCGUAAAGGGCUUGUAGGCGGUUUGUCGCGCCUGUCGUGUAAUCCUCUGGCUUAACUGGGGGUGUGCGGUGGGUACGGGCAGGCUUGAGUGCGGUAGGGGAGAUUGGAAUUCCUGGUGUAGCGGUGGAAUGCGCAGAUAUCAGGAGGAACACCGGUGGCGAAGGCGGGUCUCUGGGCCGU
rnacentral:rRNA from 1 species